GUGGUGGCUCAGUAGUAGAGCGCUCGCCGAGCAUGCAGGAGGCACUGGGUUCAAUCCUCAGCACCACA
rnacentral:tRNA from 1 species